GAUCCUGGCUCAGGACGAACGCUGGCGGCGUGCUUAACACAUGCAAGUCGAACGAGAAUCUGCGGAAAGAGGAUUCGUCCGAUUGAAGCAGAGGACAGUGGCGGACGGGUGAGUAACGCGUGAGGAACCUGCCUUUCAGAGGGGGACAACAGUUGGAAACGACUGCUAAUACCGCAUGACACAUCGGAGUCGCAUGGCUCUGAUGUCAAAGGUUUAUCGCUGAAAGAUGG
rnacentral:rRNA from 1 species